rnacentral:rRNA from 1 species
GACGAACGCUGGCGGCGUGCUUAACACAUGCAAGUCGAACGGAAAGGCCCUGCUCUUGUGGGGUGCUCGAGUGGCGAACGGGUGAGUAACACGUGAGUAACCUGCCCUUGACUUUGGGAUAACUUCAGGAAACUGGGGCUAAUACCGGAUAGGAGCUCCUGCUGCAUGGUGGGGGUUGGAAAGUUUCGGCGGUUGGGGAUGGACUCGCGGCUUAUCAGCUUGUUGGUGGGGUAGUGGCUUACCAAGGCUUUGACGGGUAGCCGGCCUGAGAGGGUGACCGGGCACAUUGGGACUGAGAUACGGCCCAGACGCCUACGGGAGGCAGCAGUGGGGAAUAUUGCACAAUGAGCGGAAGCCUGAUGCAGCAACGCCGCGUGCGGGAUGACGGCCUUCGGGUUGUAAACCGCUUUCGCCUGUGACGAAGAGUGAGUGACGGUAAUGGGUAAAAAAGCACCGGCUAACUACGUG